rnacentral:lncRNA from 1 species
CUCGAUUUAGUUCCACUUUGGAAUGAGGAAAAUAUGAAAAGAAAAAGAGAAGUAAAUUUCUUAGAAUUUCCCCACUCAUGUUUCAGUGCUGAUACAGAAUUCCAGAAUGACUGAGUAUCCUAAGCCCAUGUCAGUUAUCUCUCAAGGUUGAAAGGAGAAACCCGGCGAAAGGAUAGGGCAGUAAAAGAGAACUGAGGUGGCUGUUUGAAAGGGGCCAUGUCUCCUCGGAGACACGUGUCUCUCUAGGAGGAUCACUAUACCGCAUUGUUUCUCCAUGGCUCUCAUGUACUCUUUUGAGACCUUAGUGUGCUGUUUCUAGAUCAACAAUUUAUGAUAUUUAUUGAGCACCUGCAAUGUGUCCAGCUUUGUGCUUGGUGAUGUGAAGGCAAGAGAUGUAAGGACCUGGUUUCUAAUCUUCAAAAAAGUCUACACUGUGGUUGAAGUGAAACACAAAGAGAGUUUUUGCCUCCGAAAUGACAAGCAGAGAACCACAAGGCAAUGUUGAGAUGCAGAGGGUGGCAGUUUCCCUCCUAGCAGAGUGACUCACUCAUGCCUCCACUCCAGGGUGCAGGGCUUAGAUUCAUGACAGAUGACAGCCCCUAAACCUCAGAAAUGUGUGGGGAGAAUUUGAAUGAAAGAUGACUCUACUCAGGCUAUAGUCUGAGGAACAGAAUUUAACAGGAGACAAUGGAAUUCUUACUUUGAUCCUCACUUAUGUGGAAACAUGAGGAUUUUGGAGAGUUUCUUCAUAUAAAGAACGCCCACAGAUUUCUCUGGGAGAUACAAGUGAAAUCACAAUGACAUCAAUAAUCCUGAAUUUCUUCUUCACACUCACUCAUGAAAAGUCUCCGAUUUUCCCACCUUGCUCAGCCACCUUAAGUGCCUUCCUUCAAGAUAUUUCCUACUGCUUCUAAAGAGGAUCUCCCAUUGGCUUGGGAGCAGCGUGUGAGUCACACUCCUUCCCUUCAGUCCAAGCCGUGGACUCCCUCUCUUUCUCGCUACACCUUAGCCCGCUGUCCUACCAUUGACUCCACAGUGCUGUGGGAGAAUGCCCAUGUUCAUUGCACAGUCUAGCCUUCCUGUCUUCAAUGUUGCUGGCAACUUUGGAGGUGUCAGGGGGAGCUAAUUUCCACAUAACAAUGGGGAAACUGUCUUUUGUCUCAACUCAAAGUCUCCAGGCCUAAAAGUAGCACUGUUUUUGUCCAGAGUCUCACAAAGUUUCUAAAAAAUUCAACUUCUCUAAUUGCUAUUCAAACCUAACUUUUUAGUGAACUCGAGACUAGCUUAAGAUGUGGAAUAGGGAACAGAUAACAGUCUCUGCUUCAUACAAAAUGUCUCUUUAUACUUUCUCAGGGAUGCGGGCAUUAGGCAUUAAAAAAUCCAAAUAAAUGUGCAACCACCCCCGACUUUCAUCCUCCUCUUUAGCCCCUAAAACAAAACAUUCCUUCCAUGCUUACCAACUCAAGGCAAAUGAAUGCUGGAAAUGAUAGUUGUUAUCAUUAUUAAUAUUGUUGAGUACUACUUAAUAAUAGUUAUCCCAGCCUACCAGUUAUGAAUGUUGACUGGCAAUUUGCGGGCUUAAAUGGAACUCUCAGCUUAUCCUUAACAGUCAUGAAAACUGAGACAGAAUGAUUUUUUCUGUGG